rnacentral:lncRNA from 1 species
UUGAGUUGUCAGUUGUCUCUAAUAAUGACAGAGUUCUUUAGAGUAUUACUCUCAGUUGAUUCAGUGACUAGAAACAAUGACACUAAGUGCAGCAAAAUAAUUGGAAAUAUGUAGGAUGUGAACAAACCAAAUAUAUAUACACAGAUAGGCAUGCGCAGUUGAGCACAGAUGAAUGCAUUAUAGAUGCAUAUUUUGAAGAGAGACAUGAGGGGUGGGGGUGGGGGGGGGGGAGAGGGGCUAGUGAACAGUAUCUUAAACUAGCGAAUUUAAAAUUUAUAAAUUUUUAUGUCAAUCUUAAAUUAAUAUUUCAACAAGAAUUAAGUUAUUAUCAAAUAUUUAGAGAGAGAGAAAAAAUAUGUGCAAAGAUUACUAGGCUCAAGUGAAUUCAUUCCAACUUCAGAGAAAAAGAAAUAUGUGCAAAGAUUACUAGGCUCAAGUGAAUUCAUUCCAACUUCUAAAUCUGUCCCCAAAUAUAAUACUCCUCCGAUCCGUUUGAUUUUGAUUUGACACCUGAAAUGUGAAAUUAUGACUGAACAUGGUUAGGUUUAGUCACUUGAAAUGUGAAUUAGAGAGUUGAAAAAAGUUAAGUGUAGUGUUUUGAAAUGUGUACUAGUGACUUCAAAAUGAUCAAGUAUAGUCACUUGAGAAAUAGAUUAGUGAUUUGAAAAUGGUUUAGUGUAGUUACUUGAAAGGUGAACUUGUGUUUUGAAAUUAGUAAAGUGCAAUCACUUGAAAAAUGUGAAUUCAUGACUUGAAAAUGAUUUAGGGUUGACACUUGAAAUGUGAAUUCAUGACCUGAACAUGGUUAGGUUUAGUCACUUGAAAUGCGAAUUAGAGAGUUGAAAAUGGUUAAGUAUAGUAUUUUGAAAAUGGUUUAGUAUAGUGACUUGAAAUGUCAAUUAGCUAUCUGAAAAUGGUUUGAUUCUAGUGACUUGAAAUGUGAAUAAGUUAUUUCAAAAUUAUUAAGUGUAGUGACUUGAAAAUGGUUUAGUGUAGUUACUUGAAAUUGCAAACCUGUGACUUAAAAAUGGUUAAGUAUAGUUACUUGAAAUUGUGAACUAGUGAUUUGAAAAUGGUUAAGUGUAGUUACUAGAAAUGUGAAUUAGUUAUUUGAAAAUGAUUAAGUGUAGUGACUUGAAAUGUUAAUUACUUAUUUGAAAAUGGUUAAGUGUAGUGACUUGAAAUGUCUACUAGUUAUUUGAAAAUGAUUAAGUCACAAAAUGGUUAAGUGUAGUGACUUGAAAUGUCUACUAGUUAUUUGAAAAUGAUUAAGUGUAGUGACUUGAAAUAUGUACUAGUGACUUGAAAAUGGUUAAGUGUAGUUACUUCAAAAUGGUUAAGUAUAGUGACUUGAAAUGUCAAUUAGCUAUUUGAAAAUGGUUUGAGUGUGGUGACUUGAAAUGUGAAUAAGUUAUUUGAAAGUGGUUAAGUGUAGUGACUUGAAAUGAAUGAUUUAGUGUAGUAACUUGAAAAUGAUUAAGAAUAAUUUUUUGAAAUGUGAAGUAGUUACUUGAAAAUGGUUUAAGUAUAGUAACAUGAAAUUUGAAUUAGUUAUUUGAAAAUGGUUAAGUGUAGUGACUUGAAAUGUGAAUUAGUUAUUUGAAAAUGGUUAAGUAUAGUGACUUGAAAUGUCAAUUAGCUAUUUGAAAGUAGUUUGAGUGUAGUGACUUGAAAUGUGAAUAAGUUAUUUGAAAGUGGUUAAAUGUAGUGACUUGAAAUGAAUGAUUUAGUGUAGUGACUUGAAAAUGAUUAAGUAUAGUUUUUUGAAAUGUGAAGUAAUUACUUGAAAAUGGUUUAAGUAUAGUAACUUGAAUGUGAAUUAAUUAUUUGAAAAUGGUAAAGUGUAGUGACUUGAAAUGUGAAUUAGUUAUUUGAAAAUGGUUAAGUGUAGGGACUUGAAAUGUCUUCUAGUUAUUUGAAAAUGAUUAAAUGUAGUGACUUGAAAUGUCUUCUAGUUAUUUGAAAAUGAUUAAUUGUAGUGACUUGAAAUGUGUACUAGUGACUUGAAAAUGGUCAAGUGUAGUUACUUCAAAAUGGUUAAGUAUAGGAACUUGAAAUGUGGACUUGUGUUUUGAAUUUAGUUAAGUGUGGUCACUUGAGAAGUGAGUUGGUGACUUGAAAAUGCAUAAGUGUAGGUACUUGAAAUGUGGACUUGUGAAUAAGUACUUGAAAAUAUUUAAGUGUAGGUACUUGAAAUGUGGACUUGGUGUUUUCAAUUUAGUUAAGUGUGGUUACUUGAGAAGUGCAUUAGUGAGUUUAAAAUGUUUAAGUGUAGUUACUUGAAAGGUGGACUUGUGUUUUGAAUAUAGUUAAGUGUGGUCAUUUGAGAAGUGAGUUAGUGACUUGAAAAUGUUUAGGUGUAGGUACUUGAAAUGUGAACUUUUCAUUUUGAAUUAAGUUUAGUUUGGUAACUUCUGAAGUGAAUUAGUGACUUGAAAAUGUUUAGGUGUAGGUACUAGAAAUGUGAACUUUUCAUUUUGAAUUUAGUUUAGUUACGUAACUUGUGAAGUGACUUAGUGACUUGAAAUGUGAACUUUUUAUUUUGAAUUUAGUUUAGUUUGGUAUUGUGAAGUGAAUGGGUGACUUGAAAUGUG